AGGGAAACCGAGUCUUAACCGGGCGUUAAGUUGCAGGGUAUAGACCCGAAACCCGGUGAUCUAGCCAUGGGCAGGUUGAAGGUUGGGUAACACUAACUGGAGGACCGAACCGACUAAUGUUGAAAAAUUAGCGGAUGACCUGUGGCUGGGGGUGAAAGGCCAAUCAAACCGGGAGAUAGCUGGUUCUCCCCGAAAGCUAUUUAGGUAGCGCCUCGUGAAUUCAUCUCCGGGGGUAGAGCACUGUUUCGGCUAGGGGGCCAUCCCGGCUUACCAACCCGAUGCAAACUGCGAAUACCGGAGAAUGUUAUCACGGGAGACACACGGCGGGUGCUAACGUCCGUCGUGAAGAGGGAAACAACCCAGACCGCCAGCUAAGGUCCCAAAGUCAUGGUUAAGUGGGAAACGAUGUGGGAAGGCCCAGACAGCCAGGAUGUUGGCUUAGAAGCAGCCAUCAUUUAAAGAAAGCGUAAUAGCUCACUGGUCGAGUCGGCCUGCGCGGAAGAUGUAACGGGGCUAAACCAUGCACCGAAGCUGCGGCAGCGACGUUUAUGCGUUGUUGGGUAGGGGAGCGUUCUGUAAGCCUGCGAAGGUGGCCUGUGAGGGUUGCUGGAGGUAUCAGAAGUGCGAAUGCUGACAUAAGUAACGAUAAAGCGGGUGAAAAGCCCGCUCGCCGGAAGACCAAGGGUUCCUGUCCAACGUUAAUCGGGGCAGGGUGAGUCGACCCCUAAGGCGAGGCCGAAAGGCGUAGUCGAUGGGAAACGGGUUAAUAUUCCCGUACUUGGUGUUACUGCGAAGGGGGGACGGAGAAGGCUAUGUUGGCCGGGCGACGGUUGUCCCGGUUUAAGCGUGUAGGCUGGUUUUCCAGGCAAAUCCGGAAAAUCAAGGCUGAGGCGUGACGACGAGGCACUACGGUGCUGAAGCAACAAAUGCCCUGCUUCCAGGAAAAGCCUCUAAGCAUCAGGUAACAUCAAAUCGUACCCCAAACCGACACAGGUGGUCAGGUAGAGAAUACCAAGGCGCUUGA
rnacentral:rRNA from 1 species